GAGGUUGAUAAAAAAUGCAAAUCCGAUGAACUGGAAACAAUGAGGAAACGUGUGACUAAUGCAGAUCAAAAUCUGCAAACAAGAAAAGAGGGUCAGUUUACAUCAUUUUACCGAACACCUGACAGUUUGGAAACUUCCUGAUCUGCAGCUGACAGUGAAGCUUGUUUAUUAUCGCGCAUUUCUCUGACUCGCUGUGCAUCCCGUGAAGCGCUUCGGGCCGUGUGGCCCACGGGGAAGGCACAGGACACAUACCGAUUGGCAGGUUUGCUUUUCAGAACUCACCAUUUGUAAGAAGAACGAGCUGACAGCAGGUGGGGGAAGCUCUGGCUCUCUGUGACAGCAAUGCACCAUCUUAACAAUUUAUGAUAUCACAACGUGUCUGCAGUAACUGUGCUCAGACACUCGCACUCUGUCCUCCAAGUUCGAGCCACACCUCCCCCCCACCCACC